rnacentral:rRNA from 1 species
CUGCAGUCGAGCGCGGGAAGCAGGCAGAUCCUCUUCGGAGGUGACGCUUGUGGAACGAGCGGCGGACGGGUGAGUAACACGUGGGCAACCUGCCUGUAAGAUUGGGAUAACCCCGGGAAACCGGGGCUAAUACCGGAUAAUACUUUUCGUUGCAUAACGAGAAGUUGAAAGGCGGCUUUUAGCUGUCACUUACAGAUGGGCCCGCGGCGCAUUAGCUAGUUGGUAAGGUAACGGCUUACCAAGGCGACGAUGCGUAGCCGACCUGAGAGGGUGAUCGGCCACACUGGGACUGAGACACGGCCCAGACUCCUACGGGAGGCAGCAGUAGGGAAUCUUCCGCAAUGGACGAAAGUCUGACGGAGCAACGCCGCGUGAGUGAUGAAGGUUUUCGGAUCGUAAAACUCUGUUGUCAGGGAAGAACAAGUGCCGUUCAAAUAGGGCGGCACCUUGACGGUACCUGACCAGAAAGCCCCGGCUAACUACGUGCCAGCAGCCGCGGUAAUACGUAGGGGGCAAGCGUUGUCCGGAAUUAUUGGGCGUAAAGCGCGCGCAGGCGGUCCUUUAAGUCUGAUGUGAAAGCCCACGGCUUAACCGUGGAGGGCCAUUGGAAACUGGAGGACUUGAGUACAGAAGAGGAGAGUGGAAUUCCACGUGUAGCGGUGAAAUGCGUAGAGAUGUGGAGGAACACCAGUGGCGAAGGCGACUCUCUGGUCUGUAACUGACGCUGAGGUGCGAAAGCGUGGGGAGCGAACAGGAUUAGAUACCCUGGUAGUCCACGCCGUAAACGAUGAGUGCUAGGUGUUAGGGGGUUUCCGCCCCUUAGUGCUGAAGUUAACGCAUUAAGCACUCCGCCUGGGGAGUACGGCCGCAAGGCUGAAACUCAAAAGAAUUGACGGGGGCCCGCACAAGCGGUGGAGCAUGUGGUUUAAUUCGAAGCAACGCGAAGAACCUUACCAGGUCUUGACAUCCUCUGCCAAUCCUAGA